GACGAACGCUGGCGGCGUGCUUAACACAUGCAAGUCGAACGGAAAGGCCCUGCUUUUGUGGGGUGCUCGAGUGGCGAACGGGUGAGUAACACGUGAGUAACCUGCCCUUGACUUUGGGAUAACUUCAGGAAACUGGGGCUAAUACCGGAUAGGAGCUCCUGCUGCAUGGUGGGGGUUGGAAAGUUUCGGCGGUUGGGGAUGGACUCGCGGCUUAUCAGCUUGUUGGUGGGGUAGUGGCUUACCAAGGCUUUGACGGGUAGCCGGCCUGAGAGGGUGACCGGCCACAUUGGGACUUAGAUACGGCCCAGACUCCUACGGGAGGCAGCAGUGGGGAAUAUUGCACAAUGGGCGGAAGCCUGAUGCAGCAACCCCGCGUGCGGGAUGACGGCCUUCGGGUUGUAAACCGCUUUCGCCUGUGACGAAGCGUGAGUGACGGUAAUGGGCAAAGAAGCACCGGCUAACUACGUG
rnacentral:rRNA from 1 species